rnacentral:misc_RNA from 1 species
CCGAAUUGUCAACAAGAGUUGUUGCUGGUCCCUGUAUUGGGGCAUGUGCACACUCUGUUUACACAUCCACUCACACCUGUGCACCCUCUGUAGUUCUAUGGCCUGGGUAGGCUCUGUCCUCCGGCUGUGGUUCUACAUCUUUACACACACACUACGAUAAGGUCUUAUGGAAUGUAUGUCGCGUUUAACGCAAUGAAAUA